UAGGGAAUCUUCCGCAAUGGACGAAAGUCUGACGGAGCAACGCCGCGUGAGUGAUGAAGGUUUUCGGAUCGUAAAGCUCUGUUGCCAGGGAAGAACGUCCGGUAGAGUAACUGCUACCGGAGUGACGGUACCUGAGAAGAAAGCCCCGGCUAACUACGUGCCAGCAGCCGCGGUAAUACGUAGGGGGCAAGCGUUGUCCGGAAUUAUUGGGGCGUAAAGCGCGCGCAGGCGGUCACUUAAGUCUGGUGUUUAAGGCCAAGGCUCAACCUUGGUUCGCACUGGAAACUGGGCGACUUGAGUGCAGAAGAGGAGAGUGGAAUUCCACGUGUAGCGGUGAAAAUGCGUAGAUAUGUGGAGGAACACCAGUGGCGAAGGCGACUCUCUGGGCUGUAACUGACGCUGAGGCGCGAAAGCGUGGGGAGCAAAACAGGAUUAGAUACCCUGGUAGUCCACGCCGUAAAACGAUGAAUGCUAGGUGUUAGGGGUUUCGAUACCCUUGGUGCCGAAGUUAACACAUAAGCAUUCCGCCUGGGAGUACGGUCGCAAGACUGAAACUC
rnacentral:rRNA from 1 species